rnacentral:rRNA from 1 species
AUACGGGGGAUGCAAGCGUUAUCCGGAAUCAUUGGGCGUAAAGCGCCUGUAGGUUGUUUAAUAAGUCUGUUGUUAAAGACUAGGGCUUAACCCUGGGAAAGCAAUGGAAACUAAUAGACUUGAGUAUGGUAGGGGUAGAGGGAAUUUCUAGUGUAGCGGUGAAAUGCGUAGAUAUUAGAAAGAACACCAGUGGCGAAAGCGCUCUACUGGACCAUUACUGACACUCAGAGGCGAAAGCUAGGGGAGCGAAAGGGAUUAGAAACCCUAGUAGUCC